GCAUAGUGAUAUUGCCUUCUCUCUCACCCUACUCUAAUAAGGUUUUGAUAUCUGGAGCUCAUAGGUGGGAGACAGAUAAUACAUACUUACAAGACAUUUAUUGUAUAGUCAAAACAUGGAUCCAGAAGAACAAGUCAAUAAGUCAAAUCAAGAUGUACAUGUGUGGCAAGUGAAUGGUGUAUGGUGAUGAUGGUGAUAACAAUGGUGAAAGUCUAAUUCUACUUUUGCUCUUUUAAGUGGAUACAUACCUUUCUUGCACUUUGAAGCUUUUUGAGGAGAAUGAGAUGCUCUAUAUAUUUUUUUUCUCUCAGGUGGGUAUCUUGUACCCCUAAUUCUACGGUCGGACACUUGUCCAUUUUUACCUCUCGUCUCACUUUUUCUUUUCUUCGAGGUUCCGGGCACUUGCCCCUUUUUAUUUCCUCGUAUCUUUUUCUCUCUUUUUUAGAGCACUCAUCUCUUGAAAUAAUAUAGCAAGUGGUAGUAACCAAGAUAACUUGAGCAUUUAUUUCAUAGGGAAAAAUAGAAAUAUUUUUGGCUAUUCUCUCCCGGAUUAGGAGUAGAAUACUUUUAGGUGAAUCUGGAGAUGGGAUUUAGUGGAUGUAUGUGGAUGCGUACUUCUGGAGUAGAAGCAGCAUGUAUGAGUGAACGUGCAAGUGAAUCUUGAUUUUAACCGCAUGACAAGCUCCUAAGGGUCUACACAGCUUGACCACACUCAAUGCUCAUAAGCAGUAAAAAGUAAAUGUGUGGCUCAAAGUCUAGCAAGCAUGUAUAUAUGGCUGUGGUAGGAAUUUUAAACUCUCAUUAUACAGGAACUCAUCAUGUGUUAUUUUAAAGAUUUUCAAAGAUAAAAUUCUCUAGAAUUCUAGCAUCUCUAGGAACAGAUAAAUAGCAGCUCAACCUUCCCAUAUCAUAUCCGUUAACGACUUAGACUUCAGAUCAAGUACUCUUCCCACAAGUUUAGGUUUAGAGCAGGUUUAAAUUAUAAUAGUUAUUCCUAAACUUGAGAGAGAGCUCAAACUUGAGAACUAGGUUCAUGGCAAAGCAACUAUUUAUCAUUUCUAUGUGAGAGCUUAUCAUGAGGGUUCAUAGCAAAAUCUAUUUAUUUAUUUAGCAAACUAAGCAAAGAUAUAAGCACAAAAUUUUUAUUUGGGUUUUCAUGAAUAUGCAUCUUUUUAUUAUUUGAGUAAAGUAUAAAUGCGAGUAGAAACACUUAGCUGGAUAAAUGGGGGUGCUCUCCCCAAGCUGGAUUUUGACGUAAUUUCUUCUGAUAUAGCUAGCAGGUGGCGGAGGUGUAUUUUAAUGUCGGCAGCACCUUGACAGCGAUUAGAAUAUCCUCUGUCUGCUAGUCUUCUUUGAUCCUUGAAUUCUAUGGAGCUCAAAUGGACAACAAAGCUUUGUGGAACUGGUUAAGUGUUAGCAUAAAAUCUCUUAGCCUUUAUCCUAUUGAGAUUCCUCCUAAUAAAUAUUACUUGAUAGGACAGGAAUAUAUUUAUUUUAUCUUUAUGCCACCACGGUGAAUGUACUUAUGGGUUUUAUGCCAUGAGGAUACUCACAUGGGGCUUACUAUAUUUAACAUUUUUAUUUUCUUUUCAAGAUAGCAUGAACUUGAUUAACUAAGCAAACUAUUUUAAAUAAUUGAAGGGAAAAGGGAUAACUACCAAGUUUACCUCUUGGCAAGGCGUUUGGUGUUUUUAAGUCCUCCGAACGGGACUCUCCGUUUUCUCAGUCGUCCUGGGAUUUGCUGGAUGGCGUAGUCGGUGGUUCCGGCGGCGCCUCCUCUUCGUGUAUAACUAUCUUCUUUUCCUGACUCGGUGCUACGGUCUCCUCAGGACAGUUCUGUUCAAGCUAUAUGUCUUCAGACCUUACCACUUCUCCUUUGUAGUCUGCCCAUCCGUCCUUGAUGAUUUUCCUCCUCUGGUUGCGGUUGCGUCAUCUUCUUCUCAUCCUGAUUUUGAUAGUGUUGAGGAACGGUCUUCCAAGGAUGAUGGGUGGAUCAUACUCAUCUUCUCCUAUGUCAAUGACCUGAAAAUCAUCUAGAGUUGAAUGUAUAUUGGUUGUAGGGACAUGGUUCCAUGCAGGAGCUGAUAAGUGACUGCGGUCAUUAUGUUGACGUCAGAUCCGGUGUCGUAGAGUGUCUUCUGAAAAGAGUAUCCGUUGAUUGUGCAUGUUGACACUUGCUAACACCACUUGAAUACUAGGUUGUCAUCCCCAGCAUGGCACUAGAGUGUACUAUGGUAUUUAUACGCACACAGAUAAUCCACAAGCGCACGGAUACCGUUGAAGCUUUUACCCGGUUAAAGGUUUUAUCGUAUCCACAGGGAAACGGGAGAACCAACUACGCUCUAACUUAACCAAGAUAAAUAGAUAAGUGUAAAUAGGAAAGAUGGUAGAAUCGAAAAAGAACAAUAUUAAAGGUAAGAUAACAGUGAGUGAUAAUAUGGGAAUAGAGAAUAGAGCAAUUAUAGUAUAUGGGCGAUGGUAGCAGAAUAGAGAGAAUAACUAUGAUUUCUCUACUUCAAAGGGGUAUGUCUAUGUCUGGGACGAACCACGUGAUAAGAGUACACCACAAAGGAUGCUUAUCCUUAGGCCGAUAAACCCUACCCGUCCUGCUAACGAGAUGUGGACUACAGGGGACCAACGUAACUGUCACCUACGCGGCCUACCACACGAUCCAGCUAGACAGGGGAUAUCCACAAGUAAUCUAGGUCUAAGCACCACGCUUACACCUAUACUACAACUCUCACCUAUAGCGUCCUAUAGAUUAGAAUACUCAAAAGAGUUGUGAACCAGAACAUACAUAAUUAGUAAUUGCAUAAUGAAUUAGAAGUAGAUUACCAGAGUCAUCCCAUGAGCAAGCUUGAUUAGAGCUUGAUCAUGACGAAGUACAACCGGAGGAAGAACCGACAGGCCGGCCUCUCCUCUAAUCCUCCUUCGCUCUCCAUCUCGCUACUAUCUAGAUCUACUCUAGUUUAGAGAAGAGAGGAGAGCUCUCAUCUCUAAACCCUAGCUUUUGCUCUGUCUAUGAAUAAUGAAUAAUGAUCAAGGGGUGCCUCCUCCAAGGGCUAGGGGGUCUGGUUAUAUAGUCCCCUCAAGUGAACCUGGGCCGUCGGAUCAAACCGACAUUGAUUGAACGGUUAUUCUUGAUCCUUUAGGUCGGUGGAGAUCUCCCGAGAGAAAGAGUCCUGAUUAGGCUCCAAGUCAGGGCGGGCGCCCUGCCUCUGGCCCCGUUCGGCCUCCGCUUCCUUCCCGUGGCUUCUGGAGUCUUCUAAAUGUAAGAUAAUUGCGCGGCACGUUAAUAUCUCUAUGUAAUCCCGACGUGUGGGCCUUUCUUCCAUAUUUCCUGAUAACCCCCUGCAGAAAUAGACAAACACCAAAACUCGUGGAAUUCUGUCAGAUGAAACCCUAAGCCUAGAUGUUGAUUUCAUUUGAAUCCUUUUCUUUGUUUAUUUGAUAAUUAAAUUUGAUACUUAAGGACCGUCAACAGUGCACUCGAUGCUUGGAACACCAGGGUUGUCCUUCUUAAUCAGGAAAGGCGACUUGAGUCGACGAUCUUGGCCUCUUCCAGCAAGGAUCCAAUGUUUUAAGUCUUCUGGACAAGACUUCUCACCGUGUUCAUCCUUUAGGUGCAUCAUUUGAUUAGGUGUGGACCUUGACAUCUGCAUCUCUUGAUACGGUGUCACCCAUGUUCUUCGUUUGUCCAGCAGUUCGAGGUGCGGCAUUGGCAGCAUCCUGCUCAGUGUGUUUGUGCUCGUAGAUCCAUGUCCUUCACUUGGUGGAGUCUGGGAGUUGUAAAACUCCUUCAGAUUUUGCUCGAAGUGUACCUGCUCAUAGAGACAAGGCAGAGAUCAAGUGCAUGGGCCCUGCUGGUGAAAAACACCAACAGAACCAAAAGUGUAUUUGUUCUUCUCUAACCUUAAACAUAGUGAGCAAGACAAAGUUGAUGGAUAAUAAGAUUAUGAGUGUAGCAUUUAAAACAUUUGUCAGAUCAGAUUGCUUGACCUAAUGGAAAGAUAAUCUAUCUAUAUUUAUGUUUUGCUUAUAUCUUCCAAAGAUUGAAUGUGCAAUGUUUUAGCUUAUAUGAUUAGGAGUGUAGGAUCAUGGAGGUAGUACUAGGAACAAAGAUUAAAGGACUAAACAUGUUGAAUUAAUUGAGUUGGUUAAUUUGGAGUUACAAAUCAUACAUGUUUGUCUCUUUAUUUUAUGUUAACGCCAGAACCAAGGAGGAGCUUAUAAAAGCGAUAGUCAAGUACCUUAAGAUGUUACCUUACUUGAAGAGUGAUGGUACAGUAUCACCUUGUGGAAGCUCUCCUUUCUUAGCGGUUGUGCAUCGUGGUUGUUGCAUUCUUUGUCUCGUUCCAUGGAUCAUCUCUCUAUGAUGAAUGAGCUAUGUCUUCCUUGUGCAAAUCGUCAAACUUCAUGUGUCUCCUUUAUCCCCAAUGUGAGUUUGUAUCUCAGGACUUCCCAGGUUGAUAUUGAAAGUUUUCCUGCAGGGGUUAUUCCGACAAAAUAUACAAAUGCCUACUCAAGCAGUUUUUAGUUCAGUAACCAAACUAGACUCCAUGUCUAAUCAGAUUAAGGAAGGCUAUUUAACCUAAGCACCACGCUUAAUUUAAAAGCCAAUAGAAGUAUGUACAAUACUUCCAAACUAACACUUACUAAGAUAAACAUAGGUAGCAUGAUGGCGUUUAUAGAGAUCUACUCAAGUGGAGAUGAAGUAGUGUGAUUAGUAUUUAACAAAAUGAGCAUGUCUUAAAGGUAGGGACAAUCAACAUAGCAACAUGGCAAAGAAUGUUUUUAUGUAAAGUACUCCCCCAAGCUUGAAUUUUGCAAAAUUCAAGUUUGGAUGAAUUCAAUGUUGUGUGAUGGUUGGUUGGACAUACCUUGUGCUUGUCAUUCAUUCGAUCUUCUUGCUCUAAUCCUGGAAAGGUUAGUGACAAGAAUACCCGAAGGAAAAUUUCUACAAUUAUCUUAAUAUGCACAAUACACAAGGUAAUGUUGCAAAUAAUUACAAGUUCAUGUUACGAUCUGAUAAGUGUUUGUUUUAGGACACUAAGCUUGUCCUUGGGAAACCAUCAAUUUAUGUCAGCGAAAUGGUUUCCCCUCCAAUGCUGACCUAUAUCAAGAUCAACGAGAUGUGCAAUAUUUAUUAUAGACAUAUGCAUCGACAACCGCCCUUUUAAAGUUUUUAUAAAUAGAAAGGAAGAGGGGGUUGGAGAUCUCAAAUGUGGUGAUGUUGGAGAGACCAAUUGAUGAGCAAGGACUUGGUGAGGUAUUUUUGAAAUAACUUCCAUGCUCAUUGUUGUUUCUGUCAUUCUCAAACUCCAAGGAUGAUUCUUCAUGAAUGCUUAAAAUUCCUCUAGGAUUGUCUCCCAAGUUUGUUUUAUCCAUCCACUCAAUGGUGAUAGCACAUGGAUUUUUAAUGCCCUCUAGCCAUUGAUGUUGCUCUUCUCGAUCCUUCUUGUGUUCUUGGUGACUCUUAUGCAUGGGAUGUCUACAGAGAUUCAUAGGAUUAUCGGGAGGUUCAAGAGAAAGAGCAUAGUAGAAAUUAUUAAGCUCAAGGAUGGGAUGGAUAGCCGAAUCAUGGGAUUGAAAUGUUUAGAAAUCGGCUAUUGAAACUUCCUUUCCUUGUCUGGGAGAUGAUUCCUUCUCUAUAUCUAGGAAUUUUUUAUGAAGACUAGUGCAAGAAGGAUGUCCACGAAUGAAGACAUACCCUAGGUCUUGUAGGGCUAAGUUUAAACCAGAAUUUAUAGAAAGAUUAAAAGAUUCCCUAGGUGUAGCUAAAAGUUCAUUAUCUUCUUGAUUAAAAGAUAGGACCUCGGCUAUAGAAAAAGGGUUGGUUUUGACCUAUUGCAAUCAACUCCGGACACAGAUCAUAAUUAGGGGCAAAGAAAGGACUUGUUGACUCCCAUGGUCUAUGGCUGGUCUCCAAAGGUGCAAAAAAUUCAAUAAUAGGUGUGGAAUUUGAGUUAUCCACAAAGAUGGAAAAAAUAACAAGAUAAAAGAAUAAAAGUAUAAAAGUAUAGUACAAGAUAAUAGCAAGACUUAAAGUUAUCUCAGCAAACCGUCUUUCUCCCCGGCAACGGCGCCAGAAAUGCUUGUUGAUAUUUGGUAACGCCAUCCGGAAAUGAUCCGCAAGCGCACGAAUGUCGGUAAGCACUUCACCCAGGAGGUUAUCCAAAGUAUGUAUUUAUAUUUUUACCACUGGGAGAAAGCGUGCAUCUGACUAACCAAAUCUAUUGCUACUACCCUUUAGGCUACAAAGAAUGUUUCUUGAUGUGAGCGAUGUAUAGAGAAGACUACAACCGUAGUCUCAUUCUAACCUUGGUAAGGAUGAUCUACUGUUCUAUUAGGGAGGCUCACGGAAUCUAGACACCAAAAAGGAUGUUCGACCUGCACCUAUAAACCCUACCCAUCCUGCUAACGAGAUGUGGGCUGCAAAGGUAACUCGAAAAUGUCACGUUCCUCGCUACUACCACGAUCCAGCUAGUCAGGGGAUAUCUAUGAGUACCCUAGCCCAAACACCACAUUUACGCUAGCAAUGAUUACUCUAAACUCAACCGGAAGAGAUUAAAGUAAACUCAUAAACCAAAGAACAAUAAAACAAGAACUUACUAGAAUUUAGAAGUCGAAUUACUGAAGAAUCCUAGGAGCAAGCCACAGAUUAGGAGACUUGAUCCCGCAGGUACAACCUCGGAGUAGACACCGAAAGGCCGGGCUUCCUCCGAUCUACACCUCCACUCUAUCUCUCUCAAUCUAGUAGAAACUAGAAGAUCUAAUUCUACUCACAUUGGAUGCUAAGCCCUAAAAAAUCUAUUUAGAGGAGAGUUAUUCCUUCGAGGGCACCUCUCAACUCUAUGAUGAACUUGUUCUCCUCCAGGGGCCAGGGGGUCUGGUUAUAUAGUCCCUCCAAGUGAAUAUGGGCCAUCGGAUCAAACCGACAUUGAUUGAACGGUUAUCCUUGAUCCUUUAGGUCGGUGGAGCGUAAUCCCCGAAGAGAGUCCUGAUUGGACUCUGGGACAGGGCGGGCGCCCUAGGGGGGAGGGUGGGUGCCCUGCCCCCGGGCCUGUUCGCCUUCUCGUUCGUUGCCGUGGCUUCUGGAGUCUUCUAGAUGACACAAAAUUGCACAGCACGUUAAUAUCUCUAUGUAAACCCGACGUGUGGGCCUUUCUUCCAUAUUUCCUAAUAACCCCUGCAGAAAUAGACAAACACCAAAACUCGUGGAAUUCUGUCAGAUAAAACCCUAAGUCUGGGUGUUGGUUGUAUUUGGAUCCUUUUAUUUAUUUAUUUGAUGAUUAUAUUUGGUACUUAAGGACCAUCAACACCAGGUAAUUGCAAGACUAAACACCACGUCUAAUCUAUUAAUUACUACUCUAGCGUUAUAAAGACUAGAGCACUUGAUGCAAGCGUGAAUCCAAUAAAUAACUUGAAUGUAAAUAAAAGUAAUUAAAGAACUCAGGAAUUAUGAAUUGAAGAACUUGGAGAACGAUGACGAACGAACCAGUUGCAGCAAAAGUAUAAUGUUGAGGAAGAUCCGACAGAUCCGGCUCCUCCUCCGCUCUCCUCUUCUCUCUCUCUCCCUAUUUUCUAGAUUACAACUAGAACUAACUAGAACUAGAACUAGAGGAACUAGAACUAGAACUAGAUAAACUAGAGGGAUCCUCUCUACUUGGAUGAAGAAUUGAAACCCUAGCUUUGAUUCUAUAGAAGAGGUAUGCCUCUAGGGGCCAGGGGGCCUUGCUUAUAUAGUCUUUUAAGAUGAAUCUGGGCCGUCGGAUCAAACCGACAUUGAUUGAACGAUUAUCCUUGAUCCUUUAGGUCGGUGGAGCAUGAUCCCCGAAAAGGACUCUGAUUGGGCACAGAAGGUGGGCGGGCGCCCUGGUCUCUAGGGCGGGCGCCCUAGGCCAAGCCCCGUUCUGCCUCCGCUUCGUUCUCGUGGCUUCUGGAGUCUUCUAGAUGAUAGAAAAUUGCGUGACACGUUAAUAUCUCUAUGUAAACCCGACGUGUGGGCCUUUCCUCUGUAUUUCCUGAUAACCCCCCUACAGAGAUAGACAAACACCAAAACUCGUGGAAUUCUGUCAGAUAAAACCCUAAGUCUGGGUGUUGGUUGUAUUUGGAUCCUUUUCCAUGAUUAGUUGAUGGUUAAAUGUGAGCAUUAAGGACCGUCAACAAGCUCCCCCAAGCUUCACCUUUGCUCGUCCCUGAACAAAGAUGAACUCAAGAGUUUCUGCAGUGGUUUCAUGCCUUAAAGAUAUACAUGCGUUCAAACAAGAUCUCAUCUCUGGGUUAGGGUAAACUGUUAAGAUUUAAACUUACUCAUUUUUCCUUCCACCAUGGGGCUUGCAACCGUCACCUGUGUCUUGAGCAGUUAAAAGAUAGAACGGUCUAGUCAAGCUCCAUGUCUCUUGUUCUUCGAUUAACUAUAGCUCUAGAGUUUUUUUGCAGAUUUUCAAAUAAAACUCAGAGAUUCCUUGUAUGACUCUCUUUAGUCUCUCUUUUGUGGUAUUUCUGGAUCCUUACCAAGGCAGUAAUGGUGUAUACCUUCUCUCAAAGUAUGUGGUAUUUUUUGUAUAAGGCAUAAUGGCAUUGCCUUCUCUCUCACCCUACUCUAAUAAGGUUUUGAUAUCUGGAGCUCAUAGGUGGGAGACAAAGUAUACAUACUUACAAGACAUUUAUUGCAUAGUCAAACCAUGGAUCUAGAAGAACAAGUCAAUAAGUCAAAUCAAGUGUGCAUGUGUGGCGAAUGAAUGGUGUACGGUGAUGAUGGUGAUAACAAUGGUGAAAGUCUAAUUCUACUUGUGCUCUUUUGAGGGAUACAUACCUUUCUUGCUCUUUUGAAACUUUUUGAGGAGAAUGAGAUGCUCUAUAUUUUCUUUUUCUUUUCUCUCAGGUGGGUAUCUUGUACCCCUAAUUCUACUGUCAGACACUUGUCCAUUUUUACCUCUCGUCUUACUUUUUCUUUUCUUUCGAGGUUUCGGGCACUUGCCCCUUUUUAUUUCCUCGUAUCUUCUCUCUUUUUUUUAGAGCACUCACCUCUUUAAAUAAUGUAGCAAGUGGUAGUAACCGAAAUAACUUGAGCAUUUAUUUCACAGGGGAAAACAGAAAUAGGAGAAUGUUUUUGGCUAUUCUCUCCCGGAUUAGGAGUAGAAUAUUUUUGGGUGAAUCUAGAUAUGGAAAUGAUUGGAUGUAUGUGGAUGCGUACUUCCGGAGUGGAAGCAGCAUGUGUGAGUGAACAUGCAAGUGAAUCUUGAUUUAACCACAUGACAAGCUCCUAAGGGUCAACACAGCUUGACCACACUCAAUGCUCAUAAGCAGUAAAAAGUAAAUGUGUAGCUCAAAGUCUAGCAAGCUUGUAUAUAUGGUUGUGGUAGAAAUUUAAACUCUCAUCAUACAGGAACUCAUCAUGUAAUAUUUUAAAGAUUUUCAAAUAUAAAAUUUUCUAGAAUUCUAGCAUCUCUAGGAAAAGAUAAACAACAGCUCAACCUUCCCAUAUCAUAUCCGUUAACAACUUAGACUUUAGAUCAAGUACUCUUCCCACAAGUUCUGGUUUAGAACAAAUCUUAAUUAAUAACAUUCAAGCCUAAACUUGAGAGAGAUUUCAAUUUUGAGAACUAUUCAUGGCAGAACAACUAUUCAUCAUUUCCAUAUGAGAGCUUAUCACGAAGGUUCAUAGCAAAUUUUAUUUAUUUAUUUAUUUAUUUAGCAAACUAAGCAAAGAUAUAUAUAUAAGCACAAAAUCUUUAUUUGGGUUUUUAUGAUUAUGCAUCUUUUUAAUAUUUGAGUAAAGUAUAAACAUGAGUAGAACACUUAGCUGGAUAAAUGGGGGUGCUCUCCCCCAAGCUGGAUUUUGACGUAAUUUUCUCCUGAUGUAGCUAGCAGGUGGCGGAGGUGUAUUUGAAUGUCGGCAGCACCCUAACAGCGAUUAGGAUGUCCUCCGUCUGCUAGUCUUCUUUGAUCCUUGAAUUCUGUGGAGCUCAAAUAGACAACAAAGCUUUCUAGAACUAGUUAAGUGUUAGCAUAAAUAUCUAGCCUUUGUCAUGUUGAGCCUCCUCAAUAAAUGUUACACUUUUUGGUAGGAUCAUAAAUUUUUUUUUAUAUUUUCAUUUUUAUAGCACAUAAAUAUAUUUAUUUUAUUUUUAUGCCACCACAGUGAAUGUACUUAUGGGUUUUAUGCCAUGAGCAUACUCACAUGGGGCUUACUAUUUUUAACAUUUUUAUUUUCUUUUCAAGAUGAUAUGAACCUGAUUAACAAAGCAAACUAUUUUAAAUAAUUGAAAGGAAAAGGAUAACUACCAAGUUUACCUCUUGGUAAGGCGUUCGGUGUUUUUAAGUCCUCCGAACGGGACUCUUCGUUUUCUCAAUCGUCCUGGGAUUCGCUGAAUGGCGUAGUCGGUGGUUCCGGCGGUGCCUCCUCUUCGUGUAUAACUAACUUCUCUCUCCACACCUAACUCGGUGCUACGGUCUCCUCAGGACUGUUCUAUUCAAGCUGUAUGUCUUCAGACCUUACCACUUCUCCUUCGUAGUCUGCCCAUCCGUCCUUGAUGAUUUGCCUCCUCUGGUUGCGGUUGCGUCGUCUUCUUCUUGUCCUGACCUGCUUAGGAUCUUCAACUAUAUUGUUAGGGUCAGUAAAAUAGCGGCGUACCUUCAAAGAGGGGAAGUGCAUGUGAACUUUCUCCGGUUCCAAUGUAGAUGAUUGCUUUAACGGUGCUGAGGAACAGUCUCCCAAGGAUGAUGGGUGGAUCGUACUCGUCUUCUCCCAUGUCAAUAACUUGAAAAUCUGUAUAGACAAAAUGAUCGUCUUUUUUGACAGGGACAUCAGUUAUUAUACCUUCAACCUUUUGGAAUGUCUGAUCUGCCAACUGGAGCUGAAUGUAUGUUGGUUUUAGUGGCAUGGUUCCGAACAGGAGCUGAUAAGUGACUGCGGCCAUUAUGUUGACGCUUGACCCGGUGUCGCAAAGCGUCUUCUAGAAGUUGUGUCCAUUAGUGGAGCACUGGAUGCUUGGGAUACCUAAGUCGUCCUUUUUGGUCUGAAACGGUGACUUAUGUCAACGAUCUUAACCUCCUUGAACUGCAGUGACCAUCUUAGCUGACUCGGUCCACAUUUGCUUGUUCCUGUUCCUCCUGUUGGUCCUCUUCCUUGGUUCAUGUCAGGAUUGCUCUGAGAUUUGUGUAGUCUUGUUCUUAAAGGAAAACGUCUCCUUCCUCCCCUUGAUGUAGAAACUGAUCUUGACAGCACUAGCGUAGAUGACAGCUCCCGAGGUGUUCAGGAAUGGCCUCCCUAGGAUGAUGGGUGCCCUCUCAUCAGUACCAGUCUCUAUCACCACGAAGUCUGUUGGGACAUACAAGGUACCAACUCGGACGCAGAGGUUCUUCGAUAUUCCCUUUGGAAACUUAGUGUCUGAUCUGCAAGCUGCAAACACAUGGUUGUUUCUCAUAAAGGAUGUGUAAAGAAUUUUUCAUAGAGUACCCUGGGCAUAAUAUUGACGCUGGAGCUAAAGUCGCAGAGUGCUUCUAGGAAGUCCACCAUGCCGAUGGAGAUGGGAAUGACGGGGCGUCCUGGAUCGCCUCUCUUGAUUUUGUUGAGGACGGUUGUAGUAGUAGUAGUAGUAGUAGUUGUUGGUGUAGUUU
rnacentral:lncRNA from 1 species